rnacentral:rRNA from 1 species
UACGUAGGUGGCAAGCGUUAUCCGGAUUCACUGGGCGUAAAGCGCAUGUAGGCGGUUGUGUAAGUCCGCUGUUAAAGCCCCCGGCUCAACUGGGGAGGGUCACGCGAUACUGAUCGACUCGAAGGCAGGAGAGGGUAGUGGAAUUCCCGGUGUAGUGGUGGAAAUGCGUAGAUAUCGGGAGGAACACCGGUGGCGAAGGCGGCAUUCUGGACCGACAUUGACGCUGAGGAGCGAAAGCCAGGGGAGCAAACGGG